rnacentral:rRNA from 2 species
GACGAACGCUGGCGGCGUGCCUAAUACAUGCAAGUCGAACGAACUCUGGUAUUGAUUGGUGCUUGCAUCAUGAUUUACAUUUGAGUGAGUGGCGAACUGGUGAGUAACACGUGGGAAACCUGCCCAGAAGCGGGGGAUAACACCUGGAAACAGAUGCUAAUACCGCAUAACAACUUGGACCGCAUGGUCCGAGCUUGAAAGAUGGCUUCGGCUAUCACUUUUGGAUGGUCCCGCGGCGUAUUAGCUAGAUGGUGGGGUAACGGCUCACCAUGGCAAUGAUACGUAGCCGACCUGAGAGGGUAAUCGGCCACAUUGGGACUGAGACACGGCCCAAACUCCUACGGGAGGCAGCAGUAGGGAAUCUUCCACAAUGGACGAAAGUCUGAUGAAGCAACGCCGCGUGAGUGAAGAAGGGUUUCGGCUCGUAAAACUCUGUUGUUAAAGAAGAACAUAUCUGAGAGUAACUGUUCAGGUAUUGACGGUAUUUAACCAGAAAGCCACGGCUAACUACGUGCCAGCAGCCGCGGUAAUACGUAGGUGGCAAGCGUUGUCCGGAUUUAUUGGGCGUAAAGCGAGCGCAGGCGGUUUUUUAAGUCUGAUGUGAAAGCCUUCGGCUCAACCGAAGAAGUGCAUCGGAAACUGGGAAACUUGAGUGCAGAAGAGGACAGUGGAACUCCAUGUGUAGCGGUGAAAUGCGUAGAUAUAUGGAAGAACACCAGUGGCGAAGGCGGCUGUCUGGUCUGUAACUGACGCUGAGGCUCGAAAGUAUGGGUAGCAAACAGGAUUAGAUACCCUGGUAGUCCAUACCGUAAACGAUGAAUGCUAAGUGUUGGAGGGUUUCCGCCCUUCAGUGCUGCAGCUAACGCAUUAAGCAUUCCGCCUGGGGAGUACGGCCGCAAGGCUGAAACUCAAAGGAAUUGACGGGGGCCCGCACAAGCGGUGGAGCAUGUGGUUUAAUUCGAAGCUACGCGAAGAACCUUACCAGGUCUUGACAUACUAUGCAAAUCUAAGAGAUUAGACGUUCCCUUCGGGGACAUGGAUACAGGUGGUGCAUGGUUGUCGUCAGCUCGUGUCGUGAGAUGUUGGGUUAAGUCCCGCAACGAGCGCAACCCUUAUUAUCAGUUGCCAGCAUUAAGUUGGGCACUCUGGUGAGACUGCCGGUGACAAACCGGAGGAAGGUGGGGAUGACGUCAAAUCAUCAUGCCCCUUAUGACCUGGGCUACACACGUGCUACAAUGGAUGGUACAACGAGUUGCGAACUCGCGAGAGUAAGCUAAUCUCUUAAAGCCAUUCUCAGUUCGGAUUGUAGGCUGCAACUCGCCUACAUGAAGUCGGAAUCGCUAGUAAUCGCGGAUCAGCAUGCCGCGGUGAAUACGUUCCCGGGCCUUGUACACACCGCCCGUCACACCAUGAGAGUUUGUAACACCCAAAGUCGGUGGGGUAACCUUUUAGGAACCAGCCGCCUAAGGUGGGACAGAUGAUUAGGGUG